GUCUUUUAAUCUUAUUUCCGUCUCACCCACCACAAGCCUCAUCAUCAGUCGACUCAACCAGAGUUUCAUUCGGUUGCUUCAUUUACUCUGAUCAACUAACUCUAGCGUAAUCACCACUUCAAUCACUCAACAAAAACUUCGUAUGCUAGUCCAUUUCACAGCCUCAAUGAACCCUAUCGCAAUCAUCACUCAACAUGAGCUUUAUUGGCAAGUCCCUUUCACAUCGUCAAUGAAUCCUAGUGCAAGCACCUCUUCAAUCACCUUCAUCCAUCGUCAACCGUCUCAAGUGCAUUCUAUUUUCCUUCUAUUUCUUUGUUUUGUUUGUGUGAUUUUUAUCAAUGGUGUGAGAAUUAAAUGUAGUUCAUUCUUAGGGGUUUCGUAGGAAGAUGUAUGCUAAGG
rnacentral:lncRNA from 1 species